rfam:Loxodonta africana unplaced genomic scaffold scaffold_94, whole genome shotgun sequence.
GCAUUGGUGGUUCAGUGGUAGAAUUCUUGCCUUCCAUGCAGGAAACCUGGGUUCGAUUCCAGCCAGUGCA